rnacentral:lncRNA from 1 species
GGCCCCGCCCACGUCAUGGCGCCUGAGGAGAACGCGGGUACCAAACUCUUGCUGCAGAGUUUCGAGCGCCGCUUCCUAGCGGCGCGCACACUGCGCUCCUUCCCCUGGCAGGUGGGCGGCGGGGCGAGCGGAGAGGCCUGCGGGGCUUGCGGAAGUCCAGGGGCAGACGGGAUGGGUCUCCCUGCUGAAACCCCCGGCGCUCCUGCCACCACGAGGCUGUCCACACGGAGCUUUUGGACGAGCUGUACGAGGCGCUGGCAGAGACCCUGAUGGCCAAGGAGUCCACCCAGGGCCACUGGAGCUAUUUGCUGCCCUCGGAAGGCUCGGUCACACUCUCCGAGCACAGCCAUCAUCUCCCACGGUACCACAGGCCUGGUCACAUGGGACGCUGCCCGCUACCUUGCAGAAUGGGCCAUCAAGAACCUGGCAGCCUUCACUAACAGGUGACCUCGGGGCACAGGGCAGCCGCCAUCUACCUUGCAGAAUGGGUCAUUGAGAACCUGGCAGCCUUCACUAACAGGACUGUCCUAGAGCUUGGCAGUGGCGCCGGCCUUACAGGCCUGUCCAUCUGCAAGAUGUGCCACCCCCGGACAUACAUCUUCAGCGACUGUCACAGCCGGGUCCUCGAGCAGCUCCGAGGGAAUGUCCUUCUCAAUGGCCUCUCAUUAGAGGCAGACAUCACUGCCAACUUAGAUAGCCCCAGGGUGACAGUGGCCCAGCUGGACUGGGAUGUAGCGACGGUCCAUCAGCUCUCUGCCUUCCAGCCAGAUGUUGUCAUUACAGCAGUAACCUGAAGCUUUCACCGUAGACGUGCUGUAUUGCCCAGAAGCCAUCGUGUCCCUGGUCGGGGUCCUGCGGAGGCUGGCUGCCUGCUGGGAGCACCAGCGGGCUCCUGAGGUCUACAUGGCCUUUACCGUCCGCAACCCAGAGACGUGCCAGGUGUUCACCACCGAGCUAGGCUGGGCUGGGAUCAGAUGGGAAGCGGAAGCUCAUCAUGACCAGAAACUGUUUCCCUAUGGAGAGCACUUGGAGAUGGCAAUGCUGAACCUCACACUGUAGGACUCAUACACGACUCCAACGGGAUUGUUAGAAUCAAAUCACUCUCGUGGGAAGAAUUUUUAUAUGGGAAAGCGGAUAAAACUUUCAUUGGACUGGAAUGUUUGGAGAAUGUUAAAUUCCAAAUCAGGAACCACAAUCUGCCCUCUAAUAAGACAUCGGCUAUCUAAGCAUGUGGGUGCCCCCUUUCUGCCAGCAGUUCUGGUUCUUAAGAAAAUCACCAUAAAUCAGACAUGAAAA